rnacentral:lncRNA from 1 species
GAUGGAGGGUAGGAGAGCCUUGAGCCUGUGAGAAGAGUCCCCUAGAAUAGAGAAGCUGAGGUUAAAGUUGUGGAAGAGAGUGGGGAUAGCUGAGUGACAGAUAAUCACGAGAAGAAAAGGAGAUCCAGAAUCAUGACAGAGAGAUGACCUUUGCCAAGAGCACAGCCGUCUUUCCCUGUCACAGAGAAGUAGGAGAAAACGAUUGGUUUUCAAGAAUUGGUUUGUAGCACAAUAUUUUAACUAUGUCCUUUAAAAAGUUUCUCCACAGACACUACCCAAAGCAGUCCUUCACUACAGUGGCAGACAGACCUGAAAAUUUUCAUCUGAAGCAGCAGAGUGAACUGCAGAGUCAGGUCACCAACCAGUGUGGAGGCUAACAGCAGGCCUCUUUGGGGAUUCCAGGUGGAAGUGUUGGACAUCUGUAGUAUUCCUGGUCUCGAAUCAUCCUGAUAUUCUUCAUUUUGUUAUUCACAUUGGACUAGGAGAUAGACUCUCACUAUGUUGACCAGGCUGGUCUUGAACUCUUGGCACCCGAGCGAUCCUUUUGCCUGGAAUCCCAAAGUGUCAGAUUUACUGAAGAAUAUUUCAUUGUAAUUACUUUUUAUACUUUAUAGGUCAAGAGCUCUGUUUUAAAGACAAAAUUUAUUGAAUAUGCUUUUUCAAACAAAUUUCACGUUCUAAUCAUUGUAUGAUUUCAGCAUUAAAUGAAACACAGUAAAGAAA